UCCUGGCUUAGGAUGAACGCUAGCUACAGGCUUAACACAUGCAAGUCGAGGGCAGCAGGAAUCUAGCUUGCUAGAUUGCUGGCGACCGGCGCACGGGUGAGUAACGCGUAUCCAACCUUCCCCAUAGUAGAGGAUAGCCGGCGAAAGUCGGAUUAAUACUCUAUGUUGUAUUUUGAGGACAUCUGACGAAUACCAAAGAUUGAUCGCUAUGGGAUGGGGAUGCGUCUGAUUAGGUUGUUGGCGGGGUAACGGCCCACCAAGCCGACGAUCAGUAGGGUUCUGAGAGGAAGGUCCCCCACAUUGGUACUGAGACACGGACCAAACUCCUACGGGAGGCAGCAGUGAGGAAUAUUGGUCAAUGGGCGAGAGCCUGAACCAGCCAAGUAGCGGGGCAGGAUGACUGCCCUAUGGGUUGUAAACUGCUUUUAUAGGGGAAUAAAGUGAGGCACGCGUGCCUUUUUGUAUGUACCCUAUGAAUAAGGACCGGCUAAUUCCGUGCCAGCCGCGGC
rnacentral:rRNA from 1 species